rnacentral:rRNA from 1 species
UACGAAGGGGGCUAGCGUUGCUCGGAAUGACUGGGCGUAAAGGGCGCGUAGGCGGAUGACACAGUCAGAUGUGAAAUUCCCGGGCUUAACCUGGGGGCUGCAUUUGAGACGAGUUGUCUAGAGUGAGGAAGAGGGUUGUGGAAUUCCCAGUGUAGAGGUGAAAUUCGUAGAUAUUGGGAAGAACACCGGUGGCGAAGGCGGCAACCUGGUCCGGUACUGACGCUGAGGCGCGAAAGCGUGGGGAGCAAACAGG